AGAACGAACGCUGGCGGCAUGCCUAAUACAUGCAAGUCGAACGAACACUUCGGUGUUAGUGGCGCACGGGUGCGUAACGCGUGGGAAUCUGCCCUUGGGUUCGGAAUAACUUCGGGAAACUGAAGCUAAUACCGGAUGAUGACGUAAGUCCAAAGAUUUAUCGCCCAAGGAUGAGCCCGCGUAGGAUUAGCUAGUUGGUGGGGUAAAGGCCUACCAAGGCGACGAUCCUUAGCUGGUCUGAGAGGAUGAUCAGCCACACUGGGACUGAGACACGGCCCAGACUCCUACGGGAGGCAGCAGUAGGGAAUAUUGGACAAUGGGCGAAAGCUUGAUCCAGCAAUGCCGCGUGAGUGAUGGAAGGUCCGUUAAGGGUGUAAAGUCCUUCUUUUACCCGGAGAUGAAUAAUGAACAGUAAGUCGGAAGUAAUAGCUACCCGGUACUAACCGUCCGUGACCGAGCC
rnacentral:rRNA from 1 species